UACGGAAGGGGCAAGCGUUGUUCGGAAUCAUUGGGCGUAAAGGGCGCGUAGGUGGUUCUGUAUGUCUACCGUGAAAGCAUACGGCUCAACUGUAUUUUGUCGGUAGAAACUGCAGGACUUGAGGGCUGGGAGGGGCUGGUGGAAUUCCCUGUGUAGCGGUGAAAUGCGUAGAGAUGGGGGAGAACACUCGUGGCGAAGGCGGCCAGCUAGACCAGUUCUGACACUGAGGCGCGACAGCGUGGGGAGCAAACAGG
rnacentral:rRNA from 1 species